GGCAGGCCCGAAGGUAGUGAGUUAUCUCACUUGAUUAUUCACAGUCAGUUACAGAUUGAACUCCUUGUUCUUUCUCCUACUCUCCCCCCUCCUCACUACUGCACUUGACUAGUCUAAA
rnacentral:Y_RNA from 1 species